AAGUCGUAACAAGGUCUCCGUAGGUGAACCUGCGGAGGGAUCAUUAACACUGAUCAAUGAUUCAGGUCGAAAGACUCGUUUCAUUGUAUCUAUCCAUACACCGUUGAACUAGGUUGCUUUGACAACCAAUCCUAUCCCCAUCGCUUUGAUCUUGUUUAGAUGGUUGGUACGGAUGAUGUGUACUUGUAUACAUCAUCGCUGUCUAGACUUACAUAUCAUCGCUUUGGACUGUAAUUACCAUCGUACCAAGGUUAACUCCUUACAUUUCAAUCUUUCUUUGAAAGAGUGAUCUGUAUUUUCACCCCUAUGACAAUUGUACUGAUACAAAUGGAGUCAACUGAAAAGUUGAUCUCUAAUCCAUGAUUAUCUAUAAUCUAAGCACAACUCUUAGCAACGGAUAUCUUGGUUCUC
rnacentral:misc_RNA from 1 species